CCUAAUACAUGCAAGUCGAACGAACUCUGGUAUUGAUUGGUGCUUGCAUCAUGAUUUACAUUUGAGUGAGUGGCGAACUGGUGAGUAACACGUGGGAAACCUGCCCAGAAGCGGGGGAUAACACCUGGAAACAGAUGCUAAUACCGCAUAACAACUUGGACCGCAUGGUCCGAGUUUGAAAGAUGGCUUCGGCUAUCACUUUUGGAUGGUCCCGCGGCGUAUUAGCUAGAUGGUGGGGUAACGGCUCACCAUGGCAAUGAUACGUAGCCGACCUGAGAGGGUAAUCGGCCACAUUGGGACUGAGACACGGCCCAAACUCCUACGGGAGGCAGCAGUAGGGAAUCUUCCACAAUGGACGAAAGUCUGAUGGAGCAACGCCGCGUGAGUGAAGAAGGGUUUCGGCUCGUAAAACUCUGUUGUUAAAGAAGAACAUAUCUGAGAGUAACUGUUCAGGUAUUGACGGUAUUUAACCAGAAAGCCACGGCUAACUACGUGCCAGCAGCCGCGGUAAUACGUAGGUGGCAAGCGUUGUCCGGAUUUAUUGGGCGUAAAGCGAGCGCAGGCGGUUUUUUAAGUCUGAUGUGAAAGCCUUCGGCUCAACCGAAGAAGUGCAUCGGAAACUGGGAAACUUGAGUGCAGAAGAGGACAGUGGAACUCCAUGUGUAGCGGUGAAAUGCGUAGAUAUAUGGAAGAACACCAGUGGCGAAGGCGGCUGUCUGGUCUGUAACUGACGCUGAGGCUCGAAAGUAUGGGUAGCAAACAGGAUUAGAUACCCUGGUAGUCCAUACCGUAAACGAUGAAUGCUAAGUGUUGGUAGGGUUUCCGCCCUUCAGUGCUGCAGCUAACGCAUUAAGCAUUCCGCCUGGGGAGUACGGCCGCAAGGCUGAACUCAAAGGAUUUGACCGUGGCCCGCACAAGCGGUGGAGCAUGUGGUUUAAUUCGAAGCUACGCGAAAAACCUUACCAGGCUUGACAUAGCUAUUGUC
rnacentral:rRNA from 2 species